rnacentral:rRNA from 1 species
CGCCUUCGGGUGUCGGCUCACGCUGACCGCGCCUGCCAGAGGACCCAAACUCUUUUGUUUAGUGAUGUCUGAGUACUAUAUAAUAGUUAAAACUUUCAACAACGGAUCUCUUGGUUCUGGCAUCGAUGAAGAACGCAGCGAAAUGCGAUAAGUAAUGUGAAUUGCAGAAUUCAGUGAAUCAUCGAAUCUUUGAACGCACAUUGCGCCCCUUGGUAUUCCGAGGGGCAUGCCUGUUCGAGCGUCAUUAUGACCACUCAAGCCUAGCUUGGUAUUGGAGCUCGCGGUCUCGCGGCUCUUAAAAUCAGUGGCGGUGCCAUCUGGCUCUAAGCGUAGUAAUUUAUCUCGCUAUUGGGUCCGGUGGUUGCUUGCCAACAACCCCCAACUUCUAAGGCUGACCUCGGAUCAGGUAGG